GACGAACGCUGGCGGCGUGCCUAAUACAUGCAAGUAGAACGCUGAAGGAGGAGCUUGCUCUUCUGGAUGAGUUGCGAACGGGUGAGUAACGCGUAGGUAACCUGCCUGGUAGCGGGGGAUAACUAUUGGAAACGAUAGCUAAUACCGCAUAAGAGUAGAUGUUGCAUGACAUUUACUUAAAAGGUGCAAUUGCAUCACUACCAGAUGGACCUGCGUUGUAUUAGCUAGUUGGUGGGGUAACGGCUUACCAAGGCGACGAUACAUAGCCGACCUGAGAGGGGGAUCGGCCACACUGGGACUGAGACACGGCCCAGACUCCUACGGGAGGCAGCAGUAGGGAAUCUUCGGCAAUGGACGGAAGUCUGACCGAGCAACGCCGCGGGAGUGAAGAAGGGUUUCGGAUCGUAAAGCUCUGUUGUAAGAGAAGAACGAGUGUGGGAGUGGAAAGUUCACACUGUGACGGUAUCUUACCAGAAAGGGACGGCUAACUACGUG
rnacentral:rRNA from 1 species